UUAAAUUUGUUUAUGUUGUAGAAACUAAAUGUAAAAUAUCAAUGCUAACUCUGUGACCUAUUUUCAACAUGGCGGGUACUAGGAUUAUCACCGGAGCAACUGUGGAGCAAAUCACAUCGUCUUUACAGUGUGAAAACAUAAUGCUUUCUUAAUUCUAUGAAGAACAAGCACUAGAGAUGCUUAGGUACAUCUCAGAAGGAUUGGUGUGCACCAGAAUAUCACAAGAAAUGACCAUGGCAGCUGGUCGUCCUAAGAAUGUAAUGUUUAUUUUUUUGUUGAACCACUUCAGACUGUUGUCAGGCUUGGGUUCCUCAAUAUAUCCACCUCAUCGAUUUUCCUCUGGAUGUUUGUUGUAAGGGCUUUGUUACAUGUGUUAUCAUAACACAAACAGUUAAGGACAACUGAGCUUGUAGACAGCUUCAUUAGAAAUUUCUUACCCAGAAUCAAAGAUUUUACAUCCUAGGCCUGGAUGUGAACCUUGACCUGGACAAUCUUACAGACAAUAAUAGAAGAGUCACCUGAAAUUGCACAGGCAAAUUCAUCAGAUUCAGAUCCUGUCCUGCCAUCUUCAGGUAGACGCAGUAGUGGAUAUCCUGGCAAACCUUUAUUGGACUUAGAGCCACCUUGGGACAAUCCCCCACAACAAAUGUGCAUCUUAGGCUUGGCAAUCUCAGUCAGUUUUGUAGGAAAGGAGGAUUGGCACCACUGAAUUGACAAAUAUUGACAAUUGACAGUUUAGUCACACUAAACUAUAGUGGCAUGUUGCUUCAAGUUACCACACUUAUUCUAAGAUUGCUGAAUUAUCAUUACUGUAGGAGACCCUGGAUCUCUCAACCAGAAGAAGAAACUUGGGGAUCAAUCAGUUAUAAGAUUAAAAUCUGUGGAACACUA